GGUUUGUUUUUUUUCAAACUAGUUGCUGUAACAGCUUACCUCAGAAGACCUGCUGGAUGACCAUGACAGGACUGCACAAUCAGUAUCAAAAGUCAUCUGUCCACCUCUCCCUGGUAUAUGCAAUUUCACCUGCACGGGCAUAUGCAGUUUUUACUUUCCAUCGUAGCUACAUCUGAAUUUCAGAGUUAGUGUCACUGAAAGAUUUCACAGAGUGACUGUGGGAGUUGUGACAGUGGAUGCUUUUUGCAUUAUGCUUUUGGUAUGUUUUUCAACCAUUUUAAUGUUUCAUAACUUUAAGGGGUGAAAAAAAAAAAAAAGAGAUGAAAAGAAAAAGCUUUAACUGAUGUUAUCCUGGGUGCUUAGUUCCACAAGUUCUUCUGUAGAGUCUCUAUUCUGGACAAACAGGAAAUCUGGAAUACAUGUACACUCCCUCUGUCAGUCCCAGUGCACUGCAACCUGGACAGCUAUCUCUGCUUUCUAACCCAAACCCUUGAAUGUGAGGUGCAAAUACAAGAUUUAACCCCUUGACUGACCUCUUGAGCCCACCAGGCUCCCACAAGGCUGCUCCUUGUCACACCACACCUUUAAGCACCAAGCAAACAGAUACGCUGGAGGGGAGUUUCCUCAUUCUAAAACUUGCACUUUAUUCAAGUUUCUGAUCUUUUCAUCUCCUUCCAAAGGGGGGAAAAAAGAGAAAAGAUAAAGACAAACAAACAAAACCACAAGCAAAAAAACCUAACCCAAACCCAUCCCUCACUGUUCAGGAAAAGCAGAAAGCACCUAAACAACAGUUCCCUGCUGGUAUGGCAGCUGCUCUCCAGAGUCCCAGGAAAACCCAUCAGCGACACUCACCCUUGGCUAAGGUAAAGAUAAUCAUGAGCACGUUUUCACUCCUGUUAAAUUCCGAAACUUUUAAAAACAUGUCCUAACUUGCCACAUGUAGUCAGGACACAAAUGUAUUUUAACACGUUUGCUGGCAAAUGCACUAAAAUGCAACACACCCCGUCAACAGAGAAAUUGAAAACAUGUUAAUUAAAAGUUUUCACUGACACUUUUUUUCUUUUUUAAAUACACCUUUAUCCUCGUCCAGACAAGCCUUUAAAGAAAGUGAAUCUGAGAGCGGUUUUGGGAGCUGGGAUACAGUAUUUACAGAAAUCCUGAAACAGCGUGUGCUGUGCCUCUCCCCUGGGCUACCUGAGCUCUGAGGAGGCACUGGGAAACCUUUUUGUGUCCUGGGGUGCAUGGAGACCUUUUCUGUGUGCAGGGAGGGCAGCAAGCAAAAUAAUAAAUGGGAAUCAAAGUUUACACCGAGAGAUAAUGUUCCCUAUAUGCCAAUCUACUCCAAAGCCCUUUCUUCUCUUGUACUGCUCAUUAAGAAGAGGUUGUGCAACAUAGGCAUUGGAAAGACAACAUCUUGCUUUCCUAGGAGCUGUUAGGCUGGGAUGCUGAGGGAAUUUCAUUCUUGUUUUAAUUUGUGUAUAUUUUCUGGUAAUGACAUAACAGGACAAUAUGAUCCAAAUAAUGUUUAAACUUUCAAGUUCAAAAACUAAAUUCAGAUUUGUGGAACAAUUGCACCUUUUCCUGUCUCUGAGAAAUGAGCAUUUCAUGGUGUCCUAAUCAGUGCUGAGAUUUCUUACUGACACAUCACUUAAGUUUCUUCAAGCUUUACUACAGUUUGGUGCAAUGCUAUCAGAAGCUUCUAAGCUUUGUAUCACUCACAACCAUUACAAACCCUUUCCUAAUAUUUGCCAAGCUUUUAUUAGCUGAAUACAUUCAACAGUGUUUGUUAAAUAGUAUCCAGACUAUUUGAAUGUCCGGUGUGCUAGGAAACUGAAAACAGAGCUUAUAUGUUUUAAAUAUAUCA